GUCUGCUUCACUUUGCAAUAAAUGUGGACAGUUCAUAAAUCGACCAAUAUGAUUUUUAAAUUAUUGGAAUAUGGGUACGUUUGGAUUUAUUUCAAAGUUGAAUGGAUAACCGCACGACCUUUCUAAUUUAAAAUGGAGAAACGCACUUCUGUUAAAUGUUAUUUAAAAUGGAAGAGACAUAAAUAUACACAGGAAGGAGGAAUUGUUAUGUGAAUUAACAUACUGUGCCAUUCCUUAUAAGAAACUCAAUUUAAAUUGAAACGGUCGCUAUGAUUGAAGGACGAGUAUUGUUCAACGUUGUAAUUAAUUUGACUUACCGUUGUUGUUGUUGUUUUGUCAAAUUAAAUAAACUUUUCUAAUAAGCAACGUUAAGCUAAAAAUUGCAUCAACAUAUUCGCCGUUAUUUGUUUGUAUGGAUCGCUUAGGUUACUGUGAAAGUUUGACUUGUAAUUUAGGAAAUACUUCAUGAUCCGUAGCGUACUUUGCUUUGAGUUUGUUUGACCUUAUUAUUUGAUUAUUGUUAAUGCUGUGGUAAAUAUGUAUAUGCCAAUAUAGAUACAUGUCCUUGCAUUUUAAAUGCAUGAAUUUAUAUUAUACAUUUUACUUAAACACUCAAAUUUAUUUUUGAUAAUUGAUAUCUAAUUUCCAUCCAGCUAAUUUGUGUAGUUCUUUUUUUGUACGCCUUCCUUGUUGUUGAAAAUGCGACAGCGCGUUUUGUGUAUUUUCAUUUUUUUGACAUUAUCCCAAAUAAUAAUUUUGAUGGUUUUGUUUCCACCUCAACACAUACAAUACAAUGAAUUGUUUCUCCAAUCAUCGAUAUUACGUCAUCACGUUAAUUAUGACAAUAAUACAACCGGAAGCUCCGCGGCACCAGUCAAGGACUCAAAUUCAAGGCCCAUGUAUUUCAAUAGCAAAUGCUUGACAAACAUUUAUAUCAACAAAGAUAUGCUCAGAAAAGCCACCUGGAUUCCAGUUGAUACCAGCAAUUCUACGUUCGUGUUUUCUGCUUACUACGAACACGCAGCCAAGCAUGUGGUACUCGUGGGACUCAAAUCAAGUGCAGUUCGAGGUACAUGCCAGCUGUGGUUCGCGCAUGGAAACGGGACGUUCGUAAGAAUGGAAGAGAGCGGUUUACAAAUGCAUUAAGAACUCACACCACACAAUGGACAAAGGUUACCGAUUGUUUAUCUGCCAAUCCGUUAUUUCUUCCGACAAUCCGCAUAAGGUA